CAGAGCCAUCCAGUUUUCCACUUCUACCCCACCCAGGUUGGAAGCUCUCUGUACUACACCCAGGCCUGUAAGACAGCCAGAACUAUGCAGCAGACAGCCAGGUUGAAGAUGACAAAAAAAUGAUUUUCUGCCUAUCAAAUGUCAGUCAGAGUUUCU